CCUAAACUGAACCCAAACAGUUUUUAGCUAAUGAACUGACACCACGUGAGCUAGCCAUAUUGAUACAAGUUGUAAACAACCACCCAAUUAAUUAACCCAAAUCUGCAGUUGAGAAGUUGCAGCUGAGAGCUAGCUAACACUUUUUGUUUCUAUGGCUAAUAAUAAUGCAGGUGAGCAACCAUCAGCUUCACUGCCCCCUAAUGAGAAUCCUCAGAAAGAUGAGCUUCUCUUCUCCGAUGAUCGGAACUUUGCCGUCCAUNUGGUGAGAUCAUGCUGCUAGUUCUAGUCUUGCUGUUCGCUUUCUUUCUUCUGUUUAUUGUCUAUUUUUUGUGUAAAAGGAGGUCCAAUGAUUCUCCAAACAUCAGCCAAUCGGAACUUGUUUCGCCGAUGAAUCCUUCGGCGACUAUGUUUAAGGUUCAGUUUAAAGAUGGGACAAAUCUGAUGCCAUAGGGGAACUUCACAGUGUCCCUGAAUAGCCCUAAAAUCAUAUUGGCCACUCUUCUGGAUCUCUGGCUGAUUCCAGAUUUCUGGAAUUGCCAAUCAUUACUUGCCACGUCUAUUGGUGAGCGAAGGAGAUAAUCCAAGCAUUUUAUUUUUAAAAGAUUUACGUUAAGCUUUUCGAUUAUAUGGUGAUGUAAUGGUAAAUUUAUUUCUUUUGUUUUCCGCNNNNNNNNNNNGGUUCCUUUAUAUACCUAAAGCUAUCAGAAGCUUGUAUUACAGAUUUUAUUUAACUUAGUG
rnacentral:misc_RNA from 1 species